GUGAGGAAUAUUGCACAAUGGGCGAAAGCCUGAUGCAGCAACGCCGCGUGAGUGAUGAAGGCCUUUGGGUCGUAAAACUCUGUCCUUGGGGAAGAAAAAAAUGACGGUACCCUUGGAGGAAGCCCCGGCUAACUACGUGCCAGCAGCCGCGGUAAUACGGAGGGGGCAAGCGUUAUCCGGAAUUAUUGGGCGUAAAGAGUGCGUAGGUGGUUUUGUAAGCGUAGGGUGAAAGGCAGUAGCUCAACUAUUGUUAGCCCUGCGAACUGUGAGACUUGAGUGCAGCAGAGGAAAGUGGAAUUCCUAGUGUAGCGGUGAAAUGCGUAGAUAUUAGGAGGAACACCAGUGGCGAAGGCGACUUUCUGGACUGUAACUGACACUGAGGCACGAAAGCGUGGGUAGCAAACAGGAUUAGAAACCCGGGUAGUCC
rnacentral:rRNA from 1 species